GCACAAUAUCUGGCUCACAGCAGGUAUUCAGAAAAUGUUAGCACAUAAUCAUCACCAGCCCCCUAUCCUGCAUACCUUGUGCCAGUUCUAAGAGCUUUAUUAACUCAUUUAAGCCCCAUGAGCCCUCUGCAAGAUAGACACUAUUAUCAUCAUGUCCAUUUUAGAGAUGGGGAAACCAAGGCAUGGAGAGAUGAGUGACUUGCCUAGGAUUCCACAGCCAGGAAGCGGCAGAGCUGGGAUUCAGAGGCUAGGAGCCUGGCUCCAGGUGGCUCUAACAUCUCACUCUUGUCUGAAGUGUUCCUUAUGUUUUAGCUUUAUUAUCCAUAGCAGAGACCCAGUUCCAUGACUGGUUCCCUGGAAGGGAUCCACCUGAGGUGGGGCAAGGGCAAGCCUCUCUCAUUUGAAGCCCGAGACCUCCCCGAGUUUCUUCCCCUCCCUCACCUUCCUCCCGGCGGUCCUCCCUGUCCCUCUGCUGGGGCCCUGUCCUCACCGGUCAUGCACGGUACCCGGCGGGUCUGCUCGGUCCAACAAAUGUUCAGGGCCAGGAUCAGCCCUGGAUGGUGGGGGUACAGGGAUGAGUAAAACGGGGCUCUUGCCCUUCAGGAACUCAGGCCACAUUCCUGAGCCCCUGCUGUAUGCCAGGCCCUGAAGAGGGAACUAGAGACACAGAAAGAAAGAAGAAGGCAGUCCGUGUUGCAACAAGGUCACUGUCCAACAGAGGAAGCAAACUUGGACAUGAUAUGCAUUGACUGCCUCAGGCAACCUACCAGGUGCUAAAGAUGGAGCUGUGAUCAGGAGACCAGAGGAAACUUGAUUUCUAGUGCAAGAGGGAGACAAGAGAUGGGCAAACAAGUGAGGAUGCCGUGCCCACCCCUAGGCAGAGAUACACGCUACGGAGAAGCAGAAGGAAGGUGAACCUGGUGAUGGGGUGGCAUUUUGGAGCAGAUGGUCAGGGAAGGCCUCUCUGGGGAGGUGACACCUGAGCAGAGACCCAGAGGGACCAGAGGAGGGAGCUGAUAUUGUUUGGCUGUGUCCCCACACAGAUUUCAUCUUGAAUUGUAGUUCCCAUAAUUCCCAUGUGUUGUGGGAGGGGCCCGGUGGGAAAUAAUUGAAUCAUGGGGGCUAUUCCCCCCACACUGUUCUCAUGGUAGAGAAUAAGUCUCACAUGAUCCGAUGGUUUUAUAAAGGGAAAUCCCUUUCACUUGGCUCUCAUUCUCUCUUGUCUGCCACCAUGUAAGAUGUGCCUUUAGCCUUCUGCCAUGAUUGUGAGGCCUCC
rnacentral:lncRNA from 1 species